AUUGAACGCUGGCGGCAGGCCUAACACAUGCAAGUCGAGCGGAUGAGGAAAGCUUGCUUUUCGAUUCAGCGGCGGACGGGUGAGUAAUGCCUAGGAAUCUGCCUGUUAGUGGGGGAUAACUCGGGGAAACUCGGGCUAAUACCGCAUACGUCCUACGGGAGAAAGUGGGGGAUCUGCGGGCCUCACGCUAACAGAUGAGCCUGGGUCGGAUUAGCUAGUAGGUGAGGUAAUGGCUCACCUAGGCGACGAUCCGUAACUGGUCUGAGAGGAUGAUCAGCCACACUGGAACUGAGACACGGUCCAGACUCCUACGGGAGGCAGCAGUGGGGAAUAUUGGACAAUGGGCGAAAGCCUGAUCCAGCCAUGCCGCGUGUGUGAAGAAGGUCUUCGGAUUGUAAAGCACUUUAAGUUGGGAGGAAGGGUAUUCACCUAAUACGUGGGUACUUUGACGUUACCAACAGAAUAAGCACCGGCUAACUCUGUGCCAGCAGCCGCCGUAAAAC
rnacentral:rRNA from 1 species